CCUACGGGAGGCAGCAGUGGGGAAUAUUGGACAAUGGGGGGAACCCUGAUCCAGCGACGCCGCGUGAGGGAAGAAGUAUUUCGGUAUGUAAAGCUCUAUCAGCGGGGAAGAAAGAGGACGGUACCCGACUAAGAAGCCCCGGCUAACUCCGUGCCAGCAGCCGCGGUAAUACGUAGGGGGCGAGCGUUAUCCGGAUUUACUGGGUGUAAAGGGAGCGUAGACGGCGUCGCAAGUCUGAAGUGAAAGCCCGUGGCUCAACCGCGGAACCGCUUUGGAAACUGCGAGACUGGAGUGCUGGAGAGGUAAGCGGAAUUCCUGGUGUAGCGGUGAAAUGCGUAGAUAUCAGGAGGAACACCGGUGGCGAAGGCGGCUUACUGGACAGUGACUGACGUUGAGGCGCGAAAGCGUGGGGAGCGAACAGGAUUAGAUACCCGGGUAGUC
rnacentral:rRNA from 1 species